rnacentral:lncRNA from 1 species
UAAAUAAUCUCAAAAUUAAAAUUUAAAAAACUAAAUUUUAAUUAUAGGUUAAAACCAAAACUUAAAACUAUAUCUAAAUUUAAAAAUCAAACUUAUAAUUAUAUUUUAAAAACAAACUGCACCCUGAGGCUGAGGAGCUAGCCCCCUACCAUGUAAAUUGUGAACUACAUCACACUUUUGUUAUUCGCCUACAAAAAUAUUUAAUUAUUAAUAGUAUUCUGGCCUAGUUCUAAUAACAUAUAUACAUAUUAACUAUUGAUUAUUUGUAUUUGUAUUCGAUUUUUUCAUCUAAACAAUUUUAAAUUCUUUGAAACCAUAUCAGCAUCCGUAUUCGACUGGAUCCGGAUAUUAUUAAAUAAGCAUGUGGAUAAGGCCGGAUAUUAUCUGAUCCAUUUUCAACGCUAGAGAUGCAAACGGAGUAGAUCUAGAGACAAAAAGGGUCUCCCAUCUCCCACUCUACUUCUUGUCAAAUUGAGGCAGAUUUGAAGCGUUUUAAUUUUAAUCCUAUUUUGGGGCCCAAUUACCAUUCCAUUCGGGACGAAUCAAGACGGGAACAAAGGUUUGGUGGAUUUUUAGUGGAUUGGAUCAAAGUAAGAAAGGAAUCUCUCGCCUCUUGCUCCAUUUACUUGAUGUAUUCGGAACGAAUUAUAUUUUUUUUAUAUUUUUUAUUUUCACUUACCAUCUCAUUCCGGAUGGAUCGAGGCCGGAGCUCCACCAACCCGAACUUAAAACUAUAUCUAAAUUAGAUUACACACUCAAAAAUAGAAAUUUUAAAAUUUGAAUUUUAAUUCAUUAAUUUGUAUUGAAAUUUAAUUCUCAAUUUAAAUGUAAUUUUGUUAGUUCAAAUUUGAAUUCAAAUGGUGCAUUUAAUUCACAAUUUAAAUAAUGUCAAAAUUAAAAUUUAAAAAAUUAAAUUUUAAUUAUAGGUUAAAAUCAAACUUUAAAACUAUAUCUAAAUUUAAAAAUCAAACUUAUAAUUAUAUUUAAAAACAAACUACACCCUGACCUGAGGAGCUAGCCCCAUACCAUGUAAAUUGUGAACUACAUCACACUCUUUGUUAUUCACCUACAAAAUUUAAUUAUUAAUACUAUUCUAGCCUAGUUCUAAUAACAAAUAUACAUAUUAAUUGUUCAUUAUUCAUAUUUGUAUUCAAUUUUUCGGAUAUCCGAACAAUUUUAAAUUCUUUGAAACUAUAUCAGCAUCCGUAUUCAACUUGAAUCCGAAU